UGGGGAAUUUUGGACAAUGGGGGAAACCCUGAUCCAGCCAUCCCGCGUGUGCGAUGAAGGCCUUCGGGUUGUAAAGCACUUUUGGCAGGAAAGAAACGUCAUGGGUUAAUACCCCGUGAAACUGACGGUACCUGCAGAAUAAGCACCGGCUAACUACGUGCCAGCAGCCGCGGUAAUACGUAGGGUGCAAGCGUUAAUCGGAAUUACUGGGCGUAAAGCGUGCGCAGGCUGUUCGGAAAGAAAGAUGUGAAAUCCCAGAGCUCAACUUUGGAACUGCAUUUUUAACUACCGGGCUAGAGUGUGUCAGAGGGAGGUGGAAUUCCGCGUGUAGCAGUGAAAUGCGUAGAUAUGCGGAGGAACACCGAUGGCGAAGGCAGCCUCCUGGGAUAACACUGACGCUCAUGCACGAAAGCGUGGGGAGCAAACAGG
rnacentral:rRNA from 1 species